AGCGUAGACGGUGUGGCAAGUCAGAUGUGAAAGCCCGGGGCUCAACCCCGGAACUGCAUUUGAAACUGUCAUACUAGAGUGCAGGAGAGGUAAGUGGAAUUCCUAGUGUAGCGGUGAAAUGCGUAGAUAUUAGGAGGAACACCAGUGGCGAAGGCGGCUUACUAGACUGUAACUGACGUUGAGGCUCGAAAGCGUGGGGAGCAAACA
rnacentral:rRNA from 1 species